rnacentral:rRNA from 1 species
CAAUAGCGUAUAUUAAAGCUGUUGCGGUUAAAAAGCUCGUAGUUGGAUUUCUGUCAAGGACAACUGGUCCGCCCCUCGGGUGAGCACAUAGUUUGGUCUUGGCAUCUUGUUGGAAACUGUUGCUGCACUUGGUUGUGUGGCGCAGUGUCCAGCACUUUCACUUUGAGGAAAUUGGAGUGUUUCAAGCAGGCACAUGCCUUUGGACACAGUAGCAUGGAAUAAUUAGAUUGGGCUUUUGCUCCAACUUGUCGGUUUCUGGAGCUGAGGUGAGAAUUAAUGGGGAUUGUUGGGGGCAUCCGAAUUUAGCCGUCAGAGGUGAAAUUCUUGGAUCUGCUAAAGACGGACAACUGCGAAAGCGUUUGCCCAGGAUGCUUUCAUUGA